UACGGGGGGAGCAAGCGUUGUUCGGAUUUACUGGGCGUAAAGGGCGCGUAGACGGCUAUCUAAGUCGGGUGUGAAAGCCCCGGGCUCAACCUGGGAAUUGCAUUCGAGACUGAAUAGCUAGGGUACGGUAGAGGGAAGUGGAAUUUCCGGUGUAGCGGUGAAAUGCGUAGAUAUCGGAAGGAACAUCAGUGGCGAAAGCGACUUCCUGGACCAGUACCGACGUUCAGGCACGAAAGCGUGGGGAGCAAACAGG
rnacentral:rRNA from 1 species